rnacentral:rRNA from 1 species
AGUUGGUGGUAAAUCCAUCUAAGGCUAAAUAUGACCACGAGACCGAUAGCGAACAAGUACCGUGAGGGAAAGUUGAAAAGAAUUUGAAGAGAGAGUUCAAGAGUACGUGAAACCGUUCAGGGGUAAACCUGAGAAACCCAAAAGAUCGAAUGGGAAGAUUCAUCACCAGCGAUGUUGGCUUCCCUGCGGAUGCGAUGGCCGGGAUCUCGAUUCUGCGUCACGCGUUCGCUGCGGUAUGUCCGGCAUCGUCGGUGUGCACUUCUUCCCUAGUAGGACGUCGCGACCCGUUGGGUGCUGGCCUACGGCCCGAUUGGUCGACUGUCGCGUCGCGUUCACGCGUGCACGCGGCAGACCGUCGGUCGCCCGGCCGGCUGCCCGGCGGUAUAGAUCGCUAUAACACGGUAUUGGGCCGCAUUAAGUGCGUUCCGGCUCGUCGGCAGGCUCGUCUCGCUCGGUUUUACGGACCUAGUGCCGUUGCCGGGCGCUUGACGUGGCCGUUAGUCGACGAUGUCCUCGAACAGGCUCUUACAUUCGAACGGAUUUACCGGUCGGCGACGCUACUGCUUUGGGUACUUUCAGGACCCGUCUUGAAACACGGACCAAGGAGUCUAACAUGUGCGCGAGUCAUUGGGACUUGUUAAGCCUAAAGGCGCAAUGAAAGUGAAGGUCGGCCCUAGCGUCGACCUAGGGAGGAUGGCUCGUUUCACGAUGCGAGCCCGCACUGCCCGGGGCGUCUCGUGCUCAUAGCGAGCAGAGGCGCACCCAGAGCGUA